UCUGCCCAACCACUCUCUCCUGGGCUGUCUCUGGGUGUGUGUCCGCGCGUGCCUGCGUGCUUGCGCCUCUCUCCUCUCCCUACUACUAGUACUUGUACUACCACUCUCCUAGCUCCUGUCCUCAUCUCCUCUUCGUCUGCCCCAUGACCUCCCCACCCCCUUCCCACAUCUGCGUUCUUGCUUCGCUGCUGCUGUUGCUUACUUGGCUACUGGCUUUGCACUGUCUCUCUCUCUGCUCCUUCCUUCCCUCCUUCCUUCUCCCCUGCUCAGAAUCAUCGUUUUUUUCCGCCUCAACAGCCGCGUUGUCAUCGUGAGGCAAGUCUGAGCUUGUGAAACAGGGUAGCAUGUUCUGUUGAUGGCUUUGUCCGCGAGGGGAAGGCUCGACAACCAGGUUUCUUUCGCAUAGUUGCUGGCACCCAGUAUAUAUGCAGAAUCGUUGGCGUUUGUCAGAGAUUGCACUGUAACAGCCACUUUGGAGGCGGGUACUUUAAUGAAAUAAAAGUUAACUUGAGGUGAAUGGGAAUCGGCGAGUCGUUAGCUCGAACCGCUGUCUGAUAGCACAUGCAAAACCGUCGAUCGCUAGAUUUCGGUGGAUGUUGUAGAUGUACUUGAGUCUUAAUUUUGGAGGAAGUAGUUGUUGGAGAUUGCGCUUGCUCAGGAGUGAGCUCUUUCUCUCCGUUCCCAUUCAUUUGCAAUGCGAAAUGGAAGGGUAGGAACCACUUUUGAGAGCAUUCCAGAUGCCGUCCUUGUCAAGAUAUUUGCUUUACUGCCGUCCUCGCAGAUUGCGAGCUCCUGCGCACUUGUGUGCAGAGCAUGGCGAGACUCCACCUGUGAUGCGACCCUGUGGAGCGAAUUGUGUGAGGGCUCUGGAUUGAGAGGAAAUGACGCAAUGCAGUGCCUUGGCGGAUGGAAGGGUUUAUUCGGUUCCGUCUACGGCGUCAAUUUGAUCGCUUCUCCAUACUUCGAACGAAUUCAUUACCUCGACGCCGACCGACUCAAGCAUCAAUUCUUGCGGCCAUGGGAGCCCAAGCACCGGCUCAUUAUCGACCGUAUUUGUAGAACUGAUGAAUGCGACGAAGAGCCUCAUUUCUAUGGCUACUGAGCAACAGAGGGUGGCUCAGUUUUCCAGCGCGGUGGUGGCGACGGUGUAUUGCGUGAGUGUCCCGCAUCUGACUGCUCUCCUUGUCCUGUUGCCGUGGAUAAACUCCUUAUGGCGACCUCUUGGCACUGGGGUAAGGUGCAGCAGUAUGUUGGUCUCCAAACAUUUUCCAACAAGUUCCUGAAUUGCAGUCCUCCCAUGAUGUUUUCAAUCUGGUACGCGGACAGGAAAGGCGAUCCUAGCGUGUUCAAAUGUCAAGUAGUAAUCCGAGAUGAGCUGAAAAACGUCAUCUUCAGCUGGGAAUCGGGUGAACUUGAAACCACGGAGAAUAAAUGGAAACUAGUAAAGCACAUCGUUCAGAAGUAUCCACCAGGAAAGGUGUCCUGUGGAAAGCUGCUAAUCCUUGUUCGCCACAGGGAUUGCGAUCAAUCGUGGUCAAAGCCGCUGGAAUGAGCAUUAACCACAGCAGUGGCUUCCACAGACCCAAAUUCACAUCUGUAAAGCUACAAUUCGUGCCGCUUAACGAGGUACCGUUGUGUAUUGAUGAACCUGCGUGCAAGAAAUUUUCACAUUUUUGAAGUUCAAUCGUCAAAGUGAAUUUCCAUUUGCCGAGUACUCAGAACUCGUGAAAGUGAAGAGCUGCCAGAAGUGAAACCCUUAUCCCUUCUUCCAAGUGACUUUUAAUAUGAAGAAAGUGGAGUUCACCCAUAAAUGAUGCAGCAAGUUUGUAUUAUUAUUCCUGAUCGACUAUCAAAUUGACACCACGAACUAUUUUUUUUCCUCACUGAAUAUUUUACGAUAUCUCUUGUACGCUCUAUAAAGAUUUGUGCAUUCGCGGGCGGCUGAAUUCAUUUCAAAAAAAACCGUUGAUUUUAUUCUCUCAACCAAAUUGCUGGCACAAGAUGCUUCAUGUGUCCAAUACACUCUUCUUCUCUGCCAAUUUCUUUCCAGCCUGGUGGCUUGACCGAGCAGCAUCCUGUGUGUCAUACACGUUGACCUUUUUGAAGCCUGUGUCACGUUGACCUUCCAGAAAUGCUGUCACUUUCCACUCUGCAUUUAUAAGUGGCAACUUGAAUCAUCUCAGAACGAGGCCAUUGCCAGAGCUCCUCAUUGCGUCUUGCGAGGCGCUUUGACCCGCCGACACUCCACUACGAGAGAAAUUCCGGAGCUAAUGUAAUAUUCACGCACUCUGGCAGCAAGAGAGUGCACACCUUGUGUCUUAACUGAUACUUCCUUGGUCUACAUACCUCAUGGUAUGUGUUUCAAAGCAGCAUUCCAAUUAUUAAUGGAUGUGGCAUACAGUAUCCACAACUUCCCCUCACCACAAGGAAACUUAAAAUAACAUAGUUGAUUCUUUCAGAGUGUCAAUUUAUAUAUUAUCGUUGUUCCAAGAAAUUAAUUAAUAUGAAUUUAACCUGCCCAACAUUGUAUAUC